rnacentral:rRNA from 1 species
ACAUGCAGGUGAUCGCCGUUGAAAGACGGUUUCCUCUUCGGAGGCACCUGCACAGGUGCUGCAUGGCUGUCGUCAGCUCGUGUCGUGAGAUGUUGGUUAAGUCCCGCAACGAGCGCAACCCUUAUCCCCAGUUGCCAUCAGGUAAAGCUGGGGAACUCUGGGGAGACUGCCGGUGAUAAACCGGAGGAAGGCGGGGAUGACGUCAAGUCCUCAUGGCCCUUACAUCCCGGGCUACACACGUGCUACAAUGGCAGGUACAGAGGGCUGCGAAGCCGCGAGGUGGAGCGAAUCCCAGAAAACCUGUCUCAGUCCGGAUUGAAGUCUGCAACUCGACUUCAUGAAGGCGGAAUCGCUAGUAACCGCGAAUCAGCAGGUCGCGGUGAAUACGUUCCCGGGCCUU